UGACUAGAGUUACACUCGUCA
rnacentral:miRNA from 1 species